AGUAGCUGGGAGUCUGAAACUUGAUCGGUAUAGAUAGAAGAUACUAUGGAGACGUGUUUUAUUCUCAGCAUUUGGAUAUUCAGUCUCCUAGGUGCUGCGCUGGGAGACUCGGUUCAGUCCAACGAACCCGAAGUGUCUGGAUCAGUUGGAGGCUCUGUGACACUCAGCUGUUCUUACACCACCAGCGAUACCUAUGUCUAUCUCUAUUGGUACCGUCAGUACCCGAACCGAGCCCCGCAGUACAUUCUCAAUAUAGGAGCGAAAUCCUACAGCGGUAGCAGCCACACUGCAGAUUUCGCCCAGCAGAGGUUUUCGUCCCAGGCUACUGACAGCUCCACAGUUCUGAGCAUCACAGCCCUCGAGCUGGCGGACAGCGCGGUGUAUUACUGCGCCCUGCGUCUGGCACAGUGACAGAGCCACAUAGCAGAGCCGUACAAAAACCCUCCCUUCCCAGCUGCAGAUAAUGUUGUGCACAUUGAGGUUAUAAGCGGAGCCCCUCAGGCGUUCUGCUGCACUGUUAAAAACACACAUUCUGGCUCGGAUGUGGUGCUGUCAGAUGACUCCUUCCUAAUCUCUCCAAAGCGCCAAAUUCUUAUUCAAAACAGCUGCAUUAAAACGGGGGCUUCCAUGUGAGGAGAGAGAAAUAAA